GACGAACGCUGGCGGCGUGCUUAACACAUGCAAGUCGAACGGAAAGGCCCUGUCUUUGUGCGGUGCUCGGGUGGCGAACGGGUGAGUAACCCGUGAGUAAGCUACCAUUGACCUUGGGAUAACUUCAGGCAACAGAGGCUAAUACCGGCUAGGAGCUACUGCUGUAUGGUGGGGGUUGGAUGGUUUCGGUGGUUGGGGAUGGAAUCGCGGCUUAUCAGCUUGAUGGUGGGGUAGUGGCUUACCAAGGCUUGGAAGGGUAGCCGACCUGGUAGGGGGACCGGCCACAUUGGGACUGAGAUACGGCCCGGACCACUACCGUAGGCAACAGAGCGGAAGAGUGCACUAGGGGCGGAAGCCUGGUGCGGCAACGCCGCGUGCGGGAUGUCAGCCUGCGGUUUGUGUUCCGCUGUCGCCUUUCCCGAGGCGUGAGUGACGGUAAUGGGUAAAGAAGCACCGGCUAACUACGUG
rnacentral:rRNA from 1 species